AACAGGAUUAGAUACCCUGGUAGUCCACGCCGUAAACGAUGUCGACUUGGAGGUUGUGCCCUUGAGGCGUGGCUUCCGGAGCUAACGCGUUAAGUCGACCGCCUGGGGAGUACGGCCGCAAGGUUAAAACUCAAAUGAAUUGACGGGGGCCCGCACAAGCGGUGGAGCAUGUGGUUUAAUUCGAUGCAACGCGAAGAACCUUACCUACUCUUGACAUCCAGAGAACUUAGCAGAGAUGCUUUGGUGCCUUCGGGAACUCUGAGACAGGUGCUGCAUGGCUGUCGUCAGCUCGUGUUGUGAAAUGUUGGGUUAAGUCCCGCAACGAGCGCAACCCUUAUCCUUUGUUGCCAGCGCGUGAUGGCGGGAACUCAAAGGAGACUGCCGGUGAUAAACCGGAGGAAGGUGGGGAUGACGUCAAGUCAUCAUGGCCCUUACGAGUAGGGCUACACACGUGCUACAAUGGCGCAUACAAAGAGAAGCGACCUCGCGAGAGCAAGCGGACCUCACAAAGUGCGUCGUAGUCCGGAUCGGAGUCUGCAACUCGACUCCGUGAAGUCGGAAUCGCUAGUAAUCGUGGAUCAGAAUGCCACGGUGAAUACGUUCCCGGGCCUUGUACACACCGCCCGUCACACCAUGGGAGAGGGUUGCAAAGGAAGUAGGUAGCUUAACCUUCGGGAGGACGGUUACCACGGUGUGAUUCAUGACUGGGGUGAAGUCGUAACAAGGUAACC
rnacentral:rRNA from 1 species